GACUCUAUAGUAUAAAAAAUAACACUAAAUUGCAAGUUUAGAGAUGUGAAAAAUCGCUAGGGUUU
rnacentral:tRNA from 1 species